rnacentral:rRNA from 1 species
UACGAAGGGGGCUAGCGUUGUUCGGAAUUACUGGGCGUAAAGCGUGCGCAGGCGGCUGCUCAAGUCAGGGGUGAAAGCCCAGAGCUCAACUCUGGAAUUGCCUUUGAGACUGAGUGGCUUGAGUACGGGAGAGGUGAGUGGAAUUCCCAGUGUAGAGGUGAAAUUCGUAGAUAUUGGGAAGAACACCGGUGGCGAAGGCGGCUCACUGGCCCGUAACUGACGCUCAUGCACGACAGCGUGGGGGAUCAAACAGG